UUUUUUUUUUUUUUUGGUAUGAUAGUUAACACAAAUCACUUAUUUAUUUUUGCUCAUUCAAAUCAUUAAUGUAUUGAGUCUUAUUACUAUAAAUAAAUACCAUAGUUACUCACGUAUAUGAUUUCUUUUUUGUCUAAAUCCUUAAAUAAGGUAAAAAAUAAUCUUCUAGGAUUUGCUUCCAACUUUCACAAAUUGUGAAACAAAAGUUAAUCUUUUUAAAAUUAUUAAAAUAAAAUAGUUUAAUUACGCACGAUCUUAAUAUUAUAACAAUUGACGUCAUCUACGACAAAAAGCUAUAUUUUUACGCUUAAACGGUUAAGAUUACUAUAAACAAGAAAACCAAGGCUUUCCCAUUUAUUAACAUUGGAACAAGUCUCUAGUAAAUGGGUUACGAUAACCUGAUAGAGACUUGCCAUCUUUCUUAACUCGCACUCAUCCUCUCCCUUCCAACUCCCUUGUUUUGAUUAUAUUUAGCUUGAGUCAUUCGAAUUUUUAAGUAUUUUAAUGUUUGACUUUAAUAAUUUGUGUGUAUAAUAUUAUUUCUAAAAUAUAUUUAAUACAUAAUUAUUUUUUAAUAAAUAUUAAAAAUUUCAAUUUGAACAGCAUAAAUAAUAUAAGAAAUGAGAUAAAGCAAAGUCAAUAAUUAGAUAUUUAAUUCAAAUCAAAAUCUCACUUUAAAAGUGAAUCCAGUUAUACUUGAAGUUAAUUAGAUAUUUAAUUCAAAUCAAAAUCUCACUUUAAAAGUGGAUUCAGUUAUACUUGAAGUGAACUUCAAAUUUCAAGUCCUCUCCAAUAUCUAUAAAGCUCAAUUCAACUUGAUUAUUCUUAAAUCUUGGGUUAUAAGUACACUCGUUUAAGGAUCGGAUUAAAAAGAUUUUCAAGAAUCAUAUUAUUCGAUUAGUUUAAAGGUUCAUUUGAUAUUUGGUAGAAUUUCUUUUUGUGCCUUCAAUUUAACUUGAUACAGAAUUCACCAAUGUGAAUGUGAAUAUAUUAGUCAAUGAAAAUGAGAGAAAAUAAGAGAUAAAAUAUGUAUAAGAGCAAUAAAAAAAAACAUAAAACUUAUGAAACAAUCAGGAUUAUUUCUAACAAAACAUGAAAAAACAAUUAUAACACUACAAAAUAUGACAACAUUAAUAUAUAUAUAUAUAUAUAUAUAUAUAUAUAAACACAGCAUUAGUACAUAGAUGAUUACUAACUACAAAUCAGUGGGAGAAUUUUGGUUUAUUUGGGUAAUGCAGGCUUCAGCUCUCACUGAACAUUGAUGGAAAUCCAAAGCUUUAGUAACUCAUCAAUACAAACUAUCAGUCUUACAGUGGUUGCAGUUUCCUGGGAAAUCCAUUCACCAAAAACCAUAAAGUUUUUGUUUUUUAAACCUUGGUGUUGUUCUUUGGUGGUGUAUUGAUAUAUUUCCACGUGAAUUGCAUUAAAUUUUCAGGCAAAGUAGCCCCUGCAACUUCAUUGAUUGGGAUUAUUUCUGAAAUUUCUUUCAAAUCUUCUUCUGUCAGCUUUACUUUCAGUGAUUCAAUGUUGCUAUCAAGAUUUUUUUUUUUAUCUUGGUUGUUCCAGUAAGAAGUCAAAAGAAACUUUUAAAAGCUAUGAUCUUUUGGCUCAAGAUUUUUGAGGCCCUUUAUGCUGCUUCUGCUGUGAAUUCUAGUCAAAUAUAUCUGUAGGCUGCUAUAUUAUUUCGACUCUUCAUUUUCUUUAACAGUAUCCGCAUCCAGUACUUCACAUAUUUGGAUAUGGCGUACCUGUGUCCAACUCAUAUCUGGGCAUAAGUAUCCGGAUGUGAUCCUACAAGGAUCCUUGAUCCUUGAUAUACAUGAAACUUUGUCCAAUAGUCAUGCUUCAAUCCGAGUUACAUGAUACAACAAGGGAGUCCAGGUUGAAAAUGAUUGAAUGUGACUUACCAGGAAUAGGGGCAACAUCAUCCCCUUGAUGAAGAACCCAGGCAAGUGCAAAUUUGACGCUGUACAUACAUGCUUUUCAGCCAACUUCUUUACUUUCAAAUAUAAGAUCCUGUUUUUGUCCAAGUUUUCUCCUUGAAACCUUGGGAACAUUGCCUUAAAAAGUAGAUAUUUGUAAUCAGUCAAUGAAUCUAUCUAUUAAGACUUAAAAGGGUUAUUACUGUACAAGAUUAAAUUCAUAUGUACUAUUCAUUUUCCAAGUAUCUCUGUCUGACAUAUGUGUUUAACAUGUAUUUGGAUAUAGAUACAAGUAUGAUCCUUUGUAUAUAUAGAAAAACUUACCAAAAGCUUAGAAUCCUCGUGUCAGAUACACAAUAGUAUCUGACAGUGACUUCUGAGUCCAUGUGACAAGGGUUUAAAAGCCAAAAUAAGGAGAGUUUCAUACCAGAUAACUAUUUCCAGAGAAACCUUGACCAAGGGGACUGUAUGGAACAAUCCCAAUUCCAAGUCCCUUGCAUUGUUGAAUGCAUUUUACGUAGGCAUGAUCUCAUAGGAGUUGGAAAGAGUUAAUUGUUAAAAAGCUUGAGUAUCUUGAGCCUCAAGAAUACUCGAACAACAUUUAACUUGGGAAAUGAAAGACUAUCAAUAAUCGAUUUCAAUCUAUGAUAGCUAGACUUUUCAUUUUCUCUAAAGGAUCCGUAUUCAAUAUGUUUGAUAUAGACAAGAGGGUAGAGUAUGAUCAUUCCGGAAAAAAAAAACCCUAACAUUUUUGAAAAUAUUAACAUUGAACACAUAUAUGUAUUCAACACUAGUUCGAGUCUGGAUAAUGAUUCAAGAUAGAGGAAGAAACCUGCAAAGGGUAGUUCGAGUCUGGAUAAUGAUUCAAGAUAGAAGAAGAAACCUGCAAAGGGGAACUACUUCUUCCUCAAUGAGUCCAGAGGGCCCACUCCAUUUGUACGGCAGUAAUGGGAUGAACAGCGUGUGCCCUCCUUAUAGUUUCAGGGCUAGCUUCAGAUAUACCAAUAUACUUUAUUUUUCCCUCUUCCACGAACUUCUUACAGUUCUUCCAUCUUACAUACAUAAAAUAAAUAUAAAUAUACUUAAUUUUUCCAUAAAAUAAAUAGUAUUUGACAUCUGAGCCUAACAUAUAUUUGGACAUACAGGUAUCCAAUGGUCACCCUUAUGUCCAGGUUCUACCUAAUAUGGGUAUGUCCCCAAGAAGAGAAUGUUUAGAGGUCCAUAUUUAUGCCGAACACAUACAUGUGUUGGACACUCAUCCUUGAGUCCAAAUAACAUGAGUUUUAAAAUGGUUUCCAACUAGGCAUGCACACUCAAGAUGGAUAGUAUGUACCCGAUAAGCAAUGUUUUCGGAACUGGACCGGUGGUAGAACCGGUCAGACUGCCAGUUCCCGGUCCAUCCGAUUCAAAUCAAAUAAAUUAUUUAAAAAAUAAAAAAAAAUUAAAUAUAUAUAAUUGUAAAAUCUGGUUCAACUGCUUCAACCAGUCUGUACUAGUUUGAGGAUCAACCAGCUUUUUUGCCUUGUUGCAGACCAGUGUAUCAGCUGGUUCCCGGUCCAACCAGCCGGUCUGGUCAGGUUCUGAAAACACAGCCGAUAAGGAAAUGUUUGGAUGAUUAACCUUUAUAUCCAUUUUCGAAUAUGCCUCAUACACAAAUAUUUUAAAAAAACUGAAAACCAAUAACAAAGGGUUUCUAAUGCAGCAAUACUUACAGUCUCCUCUGUAGGGGUCUUGGUGUCAACUCUGAUUAUAUAGUAAAGAUCAAUGUAAUCCACGUCAAGGCGUUUAAGGCUACUCUCAAGAGAAGCACAAACGUAUUCAGGAGUGCCACUGACAACAAGACCACCUGGACCAAUGCUUUCAGCGCCAAAUUUUGUAGCCAACUGUACCUUCUCUCACGGUAACUGCUUCAAUGCCUGCAAAAUAUUAAAAUAAAUUAGUUUUGUGUCCAUACAAGUCAGUUGUAUUGAAGAAAGUGAUUCCUUUUUCAAAUGCGUGCUUAAUGAUUAUUAUGCCAACAUCAUCUGAGACCGGAUCGUGAAAGAUCCAGAAUGACCCGUACACCCAAACCCUAACUUUGAAACCUGCAAACAAAAACAAGGGAUUUUACAACAAAAAAUGCAUUUUCUUAGCUAAUAUAAUUAAUAAUAACGAAACCUAAAACCUCAAGUCCUUGAGUUCCAAGUUUCACUCGAGGAAUCUGAACUCUCUGCUGUUCAUCAACCAUCGUUUGUUUCCUUUUUCUUCUCAAUGGAGGCCUUUCUGAUUAUAUAGCAACUCAAAAAAUAUCGUAAAAAAGAAGGAACUAUAAAAUAAUUCUGAAUAUGUCACCCCAUAGGUAAUUGAUUUUGACUACUUUGUUGCAGACAUUCAAAAUUAAGCUAAUGGAAGAACUAUUAAAUAAGAUAUUGAAAAAAGAGGCAAAAAAUUGGUCAAAAGAGCUAAAUAAUCACGACAUGUGUUAUCAGAUAAACAUUCAAAGAAUUAUUAAAUCAUUUCUUUUUUAAUUUACACCCUAUCUCAUAGGACCAAAACCAGUUUCUACAGCACACGUUAAUAUCUUGAGUUUAUAGCACUGUAGGGCCACAGAGCCUAUGAACCAAAGCAGGAUUCACAAGGAACAGAGUGAAGCAUUUGUUGCCUAUGAUGAGUAAGUGGUCACAUUGCCUACGCAAUAGUAGAUAAAAUGAACCUACUACAGCCCCAAAACACAGUACUAAUGGAAAUGGAAAAGCAGGUCUACCAACAAAUCUUAGGCAUGAUGCUAACAGAUUCAUUUUGAAAAUGCCCUGUUAUGUUAUAUGCUAUUGGGUUCAUAUGGCUACUUUUAAGUUCAAUGUUUCAUCGCUUCUAUUUCAGUUAUACAAUGUUUGACGACUAAUGAAAACAGAAAGACAAGCACUACCAAAUAAUCUUAGGCAUGAUGCUAAUGGACUCACUCUGAAAAUGUUAUGUUAUAUGCUAUUUGGUUCAUAUGGCUGCCUUCUGAGUUCAACGUUUCAUUACUUCUGUUUCAGUUCUAGAAUCUCAAUGACUAAUGGAAAAGCUGGCCAAACAAAGAAAUCUCAAGCAUGAUGCUAACAGAUUCACUUUAAAAUGUAUUGUUAUAUGCUAUACGGUUCAUGUAGCUGCUUUCAAGUUCACUCUUUCAUUUCUUCUAUUUCAGUUCUACAAUGCUCAAUGGCUAAUGGAAAGGCAGGCACUACCAAUAAAUCUCAGGCUUGAUGCUAACAGAUUCACUUUGAAAAUGUCUUGUUAUAAUGCUAAUGGCUUCAUAUGGAUGCUUUCAAGUUCAAUGCUUCAUUGCUUCUAUUUCAGCUCUACAAUGUUCGAUGACUAAUGGAAACCAAAAAGGCAGGCACUACAAAAUAAUCUUAGGCACGAUGUUAAGGAUUUAAUCUGAACAUGUCGUUUAUAAGCUAAUUGGUUCACAUGGCUGGUUUCAAGUUCAAUGUUUCUUUCCUUCUAUUCCAGCUCUACAAUGUUCAAUGACUAAUGGAAAGGCAGACAAUACCAAGAAAGCUAAGGCAUGAUGCUCAAGCGAAAAUGUCUUGCUAUAUGCUGAUGAGUUAAGAUGGCUGCUUUCAAGUUCAAUGCUUCAUUCCUUACACUUCGAUGCUCGAUGACAAAGGAAACAGGAAACACAAGUAUAACCAGCAAAUCUUUCAUGAUUAGGUGUGCUCGGGUGCAGCCAGAAGGAGCAAAACCCCUUAACAGCUGCACCAGGCAAGGCUAUUUCAAAGAUGCGAAAAUUCCAAAAAACAAAGCAGGCCAUUACAAAAACCAUGCAAGCAUUGGACGGUUCAGGACAUUUCCAAAUCCCAAUUAUUCCACAAUUUACAAUUAGUCUAAUACAAGAUCAAAAUCAAUAUUUUAGCAACAAAUUAUCCCACAAAUGAUCUAAAGAACAACUUAAAUAAACCCAUAAAUCAAUCCAACCAAACUUCAAAAAUAACCAAAAGAACAGGGAAACUAGAUAGACCAUUGCAAGUAUAGAAGCACAACAUAAUCAUUGACCAAUUCGUCAAUUUUAUUUCCAAAAUCCUCAAUUAUUCCACAAUGUUCAGUUACUCUACAGUACACAGCAGCAAAAUCCGAAACAUUUGCAUUAAUCCCCGCCCCCAAAACCCAGAAUCAAAAUCCCCUCAAAUAUGAAAUAACAACAAUGCAACUUCCACCUCACCUUUGCCUUCUUCAAUCACUUAGUCAUAACUUCCACACCUGUCUUCCCAGCAAUAAUAACAGAGGUAGCCAUCCCUAAAAACAACCCAUGUUCCACUACACCUUCCAUGGCAGAAAUCUCUUUCCCAGCUGCAAACCCAUCUUUUAUUGGAUUCUUGAAAUACAAAUCCACCAUGUAGUUCAUAUUAUCAGUCACGUAAGGCUUUUCACUACCAUCCCCUGCUAAUCUCAACUUUGCUUCACAACCCAACUCUUUGAACAAUCCUUCAAGUCUAACCAAGUUAUAUUUCCAACAAAACUGCACAACUUCAACAGGCAUGGCUAAACCACUCCCUCCAAGCCCUGAAACAAGCUUGCUAUCAUCAGCCACUACAAUGAAAGAAGAUGAAGCUGCUUCAACCAUUUUCUCUCGCAAAAGUGCACCCCCACGGCCUUUAACUAAGUCGAGGUUAGGGUCAACUUCAUCAGCACCAUCAAUGGCGAGAUCAAUAUGGGGAUGCAAGUCAAGGGUGGAUAAAGGGAUAUUAAGUGAUGCAGCUUGCUCUUGGGUUCUUUUUGAGGUUGGGAUUCCGACGAUGUUAGAAAGUUGACCGGUGGAAAGGAGUUGACCCAGUUUGUCAACCACAAAGGCAGCUGUUGAGCCUGUUCCUAGGCCUAGGACCAUACCUGACUUGACUGACUCAACCGCUUUGUCAGCUGCAAGCUUUUUGAGCUCAUCUUGGGAAAGGACUGGGGCAGAUUGGGACCUGAUGGAGAAUGAUUUCUGGGUUCGAGCCCGGUGGUUAAGAGGAGUGGCGCGUGGGGUAAAACGGGUGGCGGAGGAGAGGUGGAGGAAGGAUAAGGAGGCCAUUGGCUUUUGUUUCGGGGGCUUGUUUUGGCCUUUUCUUCAUUCUGAUUUUAUCUAUGCUGUUCGUGCUGUUUGUGUUAGGUGAACUUUGGGCUAAAGGUAGAAGGUUAGGAAAAGGACUAUUAAAAAAAGAAAAAAGAAAAAAAGAUAGAUAUCAAAAUUAUACCUCAAAUUUGAUUUUAUGUACAAUUUAAUAUAUAAAAUUUUAUUUUGUGCAAUUAUACCCAUAAAACUUUAAAUUUGGUUCAAAUAUUUACAUAAAAUUUUGAUUUUGAUUUAUUUGUGGACAUUUAAAGAAGUAAAUACUUUUAUGUUGCUUAACUGUAAUUAUUUGUGUAUGCAACAUGUAAACUUAAAAGGGUAUUAUAUCAAUAAUGGUACUAUUAGUUUAUAAAAAUUGAAUUUAAUCAAAAUGUCAAAUAUAAAUUUAAUAAAAUUUAAAUUUAUGUAUGACAUUGUAAAUUAAACUAAAAUUGAUUUAUAAUUUUAAGAUUUAUCUUUUUUAAAUAAAAAGAUUUUAAAGGUGUCAUUGUAAAUUAUUGGGAUUUGAUUUUUUUAAAGAAAUAACAAAUUUAUUAAGUAAUUGUAAAGUUGGAGCAAUUUAAGCUUUCAUGUAGGUCGAAUUUAAAUAUUUUAAAACUUGGUUUCGAGUAAUUAAAAAUUUUACUUCUCUUUGUUAUUUUUAAUAAAUAUCGAAAAUUUAAUUCGAAUUUAACCUCAAUCUUAAGUAUAAAUCAUUCAAAUUAAAGCUAAAAACAGAAGUCAAAUUUAUUUUUUAUUACCUGAUUAAAUAUUUGUGCCUUCAGUUUAACUUAAUACAGAAUUCACCCAUAUAAAUGGGAUUAUAUUAUUAUGAGAGAACAGUAUAACAAUAGAAAGGUAUACUUAUCAAACAACAGGUAAAACCUUAUUCGUCCAAGUAAAGCUAAGUAGAAACUUGGACUUGAUUAUUUCGAACACGAUACAAAACAUGACACAAUAACAUUAGAAUAAAGACAUAAACCACAGUAAUACAUGAAUUGGGAGAUUACUAGCUACAAACCACAGGCAAGAGUUUGUUUUAUUUGGGAAAUACAGGCUUCACCUCUCACUGAACCCUCCAUUAAUGGCAAUCCAAAGCUUUUGUACUGCAUCGAUACGAGCUUCCACUCUUUCAGUGGUUGCAGUUUCCUCUGUUCACCAGCACGCAUAAAACUCUGUUUUUAAACCUAGGUGCUCUUCUUUGGUGGUGUAUUGCCGUAUUUCCAAGUGAAUUGCUUUAAAGAAUCAGGAUAAUUACUCCCUGCAACCUCAUGGAUUGGGAUCGCAUCUAUAAUUUCUUUCAAAUCUUCUUUUGUCAACUUUACUUUCACUGAUUCAAUGUUGCUAUCUAGAUUUUCUAUCUUGGUUGUUCCUGUAAGAAGUGAAAACAAAGUGUCAAAAACUUUGGUCUUAAAUCUUAAUGGAAACUAUAUAAAAAUUGGCAUUUUGGUACAGGAAUUUUCAGGCCAUUCUUAUGAUACUCGAACUUGUAUCGGAGUGUCCAACACAGAUAUGUUCAUUUUCCUAUAGUUUUUACAUAUAUUUGGAGAAUUUUUAGAAGGUCGUAUGCCCCAUAUCAUGUCCGAAAAUAUGCUGGACAUAGGUAUUGGACACAGGCACUUAUAGAAAAAAUGGAGAGUACAAACAACAUAGACUUAUGCUAUUUCUGCAGGUUACUAUAUUACUCCGACUCUUUUCUUUUCUUUUUCAAGUAUCUGAGUCCAAUAUUCCGCAUAUUUUGACAUGAGUGUUUAAUUUAACCCUCCAAAUAUAUCAAAAAAACUUUAAAAAGACACUCAUAGUGGAUCACCUCAGAAUCCAAGUUGAAAGUGAUUGAAUGUGACCUACCAGGAAUAGGGGCAACAUCAUCCCCUUGAUGAAGAACCCAGGCAAGUGCAAGUUGUGCAGCUGUACAUCCAUGCUUUUCAGCCAACUUCUCUACUUUCGAAUAUAGGAUCCUAUUUUUCUCCAAGUUUUCUCCACUAAACCUUGGGAACAUUCUCUUCAAAAGUAAAUGUUUGUAAUCAGUCAAUCUGUUUUUCACAACUUAGAAGCAUGUUACUGUAAAUAUUAAGGUCCUAUGUUAUCUGAACUCUUCAUUUUCUUUAAAUAUUCAUAUCCAACAUGUUUCUGACAUCUAUUCGGAUAUAAAUGCAAGGGUAACAUCCUUCUAAUAAAUGAAAACGAAACCUAGAUAAAAAUUAAAUAUACUCAUGUCGAACACAUAUCCAUUAUCCAACACUUACUCUUGAGUCCGUAUAACAUAGGUUAAGUACAGAUUAAAGCCAAAUAAUGUGAGUCUCCAUACCAGAGGCGUAUUAGAGGUAUCUUUAUUCGCUCUACCGGCAAAGAAACCACGACCAAGUGGACUAUAUGGAACAAUCCCGAUUCCAAGUUCCCUGCAUUGUUGAACACAUUGAAGUAGGUAUAAUCUCACAGCAGUUGAAAGAGUUAAAACUGUUGAUGGCAUGAGUUUAUUGAGUCUCAAGAGUACUCAAAAAAACAUUUUAACUUCCCAAAUGAAGAAGACUAUCAAUAAUCAAAUUUCAAUCUAUAUGAACAAAAGGGUAUUUUUAUAACCCCCCAAAUAUAUAAAAUUUUGAAUAUAUCUAUACUUGAUACUCAUUCAAAUCCAAAUAACAUUUAAGUGACUUAAGAAAAAAAGUUAUGAUGAUUCAAGAUAGAAGAAUAAACCUGCAAAGGGGAAUUAUUUCUUCCUCAACAUCACGAGUCCAGAGCGACCACUCAAGUUGUACUGCAGUAAGAGGAUGAACAGCGUGUGCCCUCCUUAUAGUUUCGGGGCUAGCUUCAGAUAUACCAAUGUACUUUAUUUUUCCCUCUUCCACCAACUUCUUCAGUUCUUCCAUCUAUCAUACAUGAAAUAAAUAUAAAUUAUGCUUAAUUUUCCCAUAAACAAAAUACAGGGUUUUUAAUGCAGCAAUGCUUACGGUAUCUUCUAUAGGAGUCUUGUGGUCAACUCUGAUUAUAUAGUAAAGAUCAAUAUAAUCCACAUCAAGGCGUUGAAGGCUAGCCUCAAGUGAAGAACGAACAAAUUCAGGAGUGCCAUUGAUAACCGGACCACCUGGACCCAUGCUUUCAACACCGAAUUUUGUAGCCAACUGUACCUUCUCUCGUGGCAAAUGCUUCAAUGCCUGCAAAAAAGGUUUCCCAGAUUCCUUCAAAUCAUAUCGAUUUCAUAAACUAAAAAAAGCCAUCUCUCGCGCAUAUCUUCGAACAUGUAAUUGACACAAAAGUGUGGGACAUUGUGAGAGUGAAAGGAUCCCUCACAGUUCAAUGUAAUUCAACUUGAAGAGUUGAUCAAACAAAGGAUGUUACCUUUCCAACCAGAAUUUCGUUAGUUUUGGGUCCAUACAUGUCGGCUGUAUCGAAAUGAGUGAUUCCUCUUUCGAAUGCGUGCUUAAUGAUGGCUAUGCCAGCUUCAUCUGACACUGAAUUAUUGUGACCUGAAAGACCCAUACACCCAAAUCCCAGCUUUGAAACCUGUAAGCAAAAAACAAUGGAUUUUAGUUUUACCCCCGAAGAAAAAGCAUUUUCUUAACUAAUAAUAUAACUAGAAAGAAACACAAUCUCAAACCUCAAAUCCUUGAGUUCCAAGUUUCACUCUAGGAAUCUGAAUUGCCAUUUUUUGUUCCCUUUUUUUUUUUCUUCUUCUUCUUCUUCUUGGUGUUCUACAAACAAAGGCUUCUCUGAUUACCGAACAGCUCAAAACAUACCGUUAAAUAGAAGAUCUUGAGGCCUUUACCCAGAACCUUGUUCUUAGCUUUGUCAACAUUUGCUUACAUCAUUAUGGUGUCAGCCCGUAUGUAAUCGUUUUAGUCUACUAGAGAAAAAAACUAAUAAAUAAUCAUCAUCACAAAGAGGCAAAGCAUUUUUUCUUUAUCCAAAAAAAAAGGCAAAGAAUUGGUCAAAAGAUAUAUACAAUAAGUAAAUCAUGUCAUGUGUGUUAAUCAAUAAUCAGAUAAACAUCCUGAGAAAGGGGCCGUAAUACCUCCUUUCAUUCAUUUUUUUUCAAAGGUUCUUGUCUUUUUCUAGAAAGUCAAUGUUUUUACUGAAACAUUCAUAUUGCUGGUAAAAUUCUGCUAUUAGUAUAUCUAUUUUGCAAAUGUUGUUUAAUUUAAUCAAUUUUAAUUUUUAUAUUUUCCAGAUUGAUCAAUUUUAGUUUUUAUAUUUUUUGAGUUUUGAAAUUUUAGUCAUGACUCAGUUAAAUUUAUUUGGUUAAAUUUAAUUAUUAGACGUAGAAAUAUCAAGUUGACAUGACAUCACAUAUAUGACAAUAUGUUUAUAGUAUCAAAUUUUAGAAAUAGUAAAAUCUAACUUAAUGAAUUUAACGGUUAUAGUUUGGUGAGGACAAAAACAUUAAAAUUUAAAAGGUACAAGGUCUAAAAAUACCAAAUUAAAAUAGAAUUAAACCCAUAACUUUGUAAAAUAUAGGGACUAAUAGCUGAAUUUAACCUAUAUUGCUAUAACUUCAUUUUAUUUUAUAAAGCAACCAUUUUUCCUUUUUUGUCAACUUUUUUCACAUGUUUAUAUCGGUAUAUUAAAAAAAAAAGUUCAAAUAUCUAGAGAAUUUUAGAAUAUCAAUUUUUUGAAUAUAUAUAAAAUACAAAUGUUUCAAAAAUUAAUAAAUACUCAAAGCUGUGAAUAAAGAACAUAAGACGAAAUAAGUUGUUCGGAUUUUUUAAAUUAAAUGUAAAAUUAUUGCUUAAAUUAUAUUUUUAUUUUUAUUUUUUACUUUUAACUAUUUAAAAUGUUUUUUUGUCAAAGUUGAUAUUUAAAUUAUUAAUAUUGUCUUAUUUAUUUUUAAAUAUGAUAUUAGUCAAUAAAAACAAAACAUGUGAUACAUUUUUAUUAUAUGUCUCAUACUUUUUGCGAUAAAAUGAAACUAAAUUCAUAAUUUUUAUAUAUUUUUUUUAUAAAAAUCAAUAAAUAUUUAAGUGAGAAAUGGAUAUAAUUUAAAGUCAAAUUUUAUAGUUAAUUUUUCUUGCUUUUUUUUGAAGUAUUAAUUUAAUCUAAGGAUUUUUAAGUCUUCGUUAACUAUAUUUUUGUGCUAGGUAAGUUGGGAGAAACUACUAAGAACAAAUUUAUUGGGUUGAUUAGGGCAUUAAGUAUAUUUUUAUCUUAGUCGCAAAUUAAUUUAUAACGACACUAUUAAAAUUGAUCAUAAUCCAUUUAGUCUAAAUUUAAAUUUUGUUGGCUAGACAAGUAAAUCAUAUAAGCACAUAACUGAAUAAAUAAUUAAAAAAAUUGAAACAAUCAACGAGAAAAUAUGAUCCAUCAUUGUUUCAAGACAAUAAAGUUUAUUUCGUGUUGAAUUGAGCAAAUCACACAAAAAAAAAAUUAAAACAAAUUUGUAUAAAUACAACGUAAUAAAAAAUAAUAUAGAGAGAAAAAUAGUUAUAGAAUUUAUGCCAGAGUACUCCGAAUCUCUUUUUCUUUUAUCUUUGCAAUCUUGAAGUUUCUCUUGGUGUAGAGAGAGUUAUUUCUUAGCCUCUAAGUGAUUUCUUUUUAUUUUCCUUCUUUUUUUCCCUUAAAUCUCAUCACCACCGACCGCUUGCUAUCAAAUUAGUUGACAAACUUUUAAACAAAAUUAGUUGAGUCAGGACUUGAACAAUUUUGUAGACAUGUGUUGACUCAUAUUUAAAUAUCUAUACUGUAGAGUCUUUGAAGAUUAAAUCAUUCUAAGUAAACCCUCCAAUUAAAUGCAUCUUCUGGGUUUGUAUGUAAGGUUGAAGGUGGCUUCGAUGAAGGGAUCACGUCAGUUCUACGAUUCCGGUCCCGAGGCGUCAAUCCAAGCCUCCAAUCCAAAUUUAUCAAAACAAAAACCGAAUAAAAUGAGUUCUUAAAGAAAAUAAAGGGUUUAAAGUUUUUUUGGUCGAAAGAAAAGAUUUCCUUCCAAUUUUUUUCGGCCACUGUCAAGGUUACUCGGCCGUCAGAACUCGAAAAUUUUGGGAUCUCCGGCAGUGGAGCCGGCCGAUAGCAAUCAACAGGGGCAGCCGCAUCUUUAGAGAAAAAAUAAGGUGUUUUGGUUUUCGGCAGAAAUAAUGAUUAGUAUAUAUAUUGAGCCUUUUGGUUGGUAUAUUUGUUAAUAAGUCCUUCCGUUCUGUUUUUUAUUUUUAGGAUUUCCGCAUUUUAAAACGACAAUUUUGGUCCUUGUGAUUUUUGCUUCGUUUUUCAAUAUUGCAAUUUUCGGCUGGAAAAAUUACCGGAUUAGUCCACUGACUUUAUAUAUAUUAAAAAAUAUUUUAUGAAUUAUGAUUAUUUUUGGUAUAUGUUAUGUUUCUUCGUUUUACUUGAAUUUUGAGAUUUCUUUUAGGUUAUGUUAGAUUAUAUUUAGAAUUCUUUGACCUAGAUCUUGAGAUUCAAAUAAUAUACCUUUUAAAAAAAAUAAAUCUUAGGAUUUAAAUAGGUUAAAGUUUUAUUUUUCUAAUUUAGAUGUUCAAAGAGGUUAGAAGUUUGUUUUUCUAAUUUAAAUCUUAGGAUUAAUUUAGAUCUUAGGAUUUAAAUAGGUUAGAAUCUAAUUUAGAUAUUAGCAGGGGUGAAGUCAAAAAAAAUUUUUAGGAGGUCAAAAUUAAAUUGUAAUUUUUACGAUAGUAAAAAUGUAAUUUCACCAUUUUAAUAGUCUAUAUAUUUAUAAUUGUUAAAUGAUUAAAUCAAAUUUUUAUUAUUUUAGGAAGUCAAAGUGUAAUUUUACCUUUUCUAAUUUAAAAUACUAAAAAUUAUAAAUGACCUAAAUAGAAAAUUUUUCAUUUUUCGAGCCUGGGGCUCUCCCAGCCCCUAGAUGUUAGGAUUCAAUUUAUAUUUCUAAUUUAAAUCUUAACAUUCAAAUAGGUUAGAUUUCUCUUUCUUUACUUAGAUCCUAUGCUAUAGAGGUUAGAAUUUUAAUUUUCUGUCAAUUCUUAUAGGUUAGAAUUUAAACUUCCAUCAAUUAGAUUUUAAAGUUUUAUUAUAUUAGAAUUAAAAUUGAUUAGCUCGGAUAUUCUGAUUUUUUUAAUAAUAUUAAAUUUUGAGCAGUUUAAAUUUCGAUUUAGGAUUAUAGGAGUCAAUUUUGAAAUUUUUGAACUAGAAAUCUUUAGCACCAAAUUUUAUAGGAUUAUCUUUAGAUAGGCGUUGUAAGAAUGCUAUAAUCUUUCUUACAUUUAAUUAUACUCUCGAACUUCAAUUUUGGUGCGAGUCUGAAUCUAAUUUUUUAAGAUUUUUCCUCAAGAAUAGUUCUAAAGUCGUAGGCAAUAGGCAAUUAACUGACCUAAUUUAAAUUGGUUAAUGACGAUCCUAUUGCACGUUGGGCCAAAAUUCAUGUAUAAUUUAUAAAUACACUACUUAUCCUUAAAUUUUAUUUAAAAUGAUUUUUUGUUUGAUUUAUAUUAUGUUAUCUAUUUAAAUUUUUGCAGAUUUGAAUAUUUGACGAGUAAUAAUACUUAAUUCAAAUAUGAAUAGUUAUACUCAGAUAAUUUAUAAAUUUAAAUUUUUAAGUAAAUUUACGGAUUUAAAUAAUAGACAGAAGUUUAAGCCAAUAAAGGUUAGUGAGAGUAUACCACAUGUAAGUCCUUAAACUACACAAGAGGUGCUCAACCAUAUAUUAUAUAUUUGCAUCAUUUCGACAACUUCCCAAACCAACUAAACUCUCUAAUAAACUUAUCUUAAAAAACUCAAACCCCAAAUUUGAAUUCGUCAUUGUUCUCUUUUUGAAAUUUAGGGUCUCAACUUUCUAAUUGUUUUUAUAUUGUUUUUAUAUUGCGAUUUGAACUAUUUUCCUAAUCAAAUUAAUCUUUAAAUUAGUAAUUACACUUACAUUUAAGUCUGAAUUUUUUUUCUAAGUUAAUAUUUGAAUUUAAUUGUUCUUAAAUUAAGAUAUGAUUUUUUUAAAACAAAUAUGAAGGACUAACUUUGAUAGAAAAAAUUUAAAUUUCAAGAAUAAUUUUCAAAUUCAAGGAUUUACUUAGAAAAAGAAUUUAUUUGCUUGUAUUAUAAAACUUUCACUUUAUGAGAGAAGAUAAGGUUACAAAACCAAAUUAAAUAUUAACAAUUGAGCUUUGAAAGAAAUAAUCUGUGAGUAAAAUAGUUUUUAAUUGAUUGAGGAUAGAGUGAUGUAAUUCAGUUGAGUCUUUUCAAAGUUAAAAUUGGAAGUAAAUGAUUGAGUAGAAUUUAUAAAUGUACUUUUUUUGAAGUUCUUGAGAAAAGUUAAAUGAUAUUUUCAUUAAAAAUUAAAAGUAAAUAUUUUAACUAAUGCAUGACAAUGACUUUAUUGUGCUAUAAGUAAGUUGUUUAAGUACUAUGUUAGUCAAUUCAAAUGAGAGAACAGAGAGAUCAAGAACUAUAUUAGAACAAUAAAAACAUACAUUGAUUAAACAAUAGCUACAACUCUAUUCGUCCAAGUAAACACUUACACUUAAUUAUUUCAAACAACUAAAAAGAACACGAUACAAAAUAUGACACAACAACAUCAUAAAUACUGAACCCUCCAUUAAUGACAAUCCAAACUUUAGUAACUCAUCAAUCUUUCAAUGGCUGCAGUUUCUUGGGAAAUCCAUUCAUCCCAACACCCAUGAAGCUUUGCUUCUAAACCUAGGUCCUCUUGUUUGGUGGUGUAUUGCCAUAUUUCCAAGUGAAUUGCUUUAAACCUUCAGGAUAAGUACCCCCUGCAACCUCAUGGAUUGGGAUCGCAUCUGUAAUUUCUUUCAAAUCUUCUUUUGUCAGCUUUACUUUCACUGAUUCAAUGUUGCUGUCUAGAUUUUUAAUCUUGGUUGUUCCUGUAAGAAGUGAAAACAAUGUGUCAAAAGCUUUGGUUAUAUAUAUAAAUUGGCCUUUGGUACAGGAUUUUUCAGGCCAUUCUUAGUUACUGGAACUUGUAUCAGAGUGUCCAACACAGAUAUGUUCAUUUUCCUAAGGUUUUACAUAUAUCUGGAGGAAUAUGCUAGAAAAUUCUAUGCUAUUUCUGCAGGUUACUAACUUACUCCGACUGUUUUUUCUUCAAGUAUCCGUGUCUAAUACCCAACAUAUUUUGACAUGAGUAUUGAAUACAAUUCUCCAAAUAUAUGAAAAUUUUCAAAAAAAUAUAAGAGUUCACUUAUAUUGGAUCACCUCGGAAUUCAAGUUGAAAGUGAUUGAAUGGGACUUACCGGGAAUAGGAGAAACAUCAUCCCCUUGAUGAAGAACCCAGGCAAGUGCAAGUUGUGCCGGUGUACAUCCAUGCUUUCCAGCCAACUUCUCUACUUUCGAAUAUAGGAUCCUAUUUUGCUCCAAGUUUUCUCCUUGAAACCUUGGGAACACUCCCUUAAAAAAUAAAUGUUUGUAAUGAGUCAACCGAUCUGUUUUUUUUACAACUUAGAAGCAUGUUACUAUGUUAUCCGAAUUCUUUAUUUUCUUUAAUUACUCAUAUCCAACAUGUCUCUGACACAUAAUUGGAUAUAAGUAUGAGAGUAACAUCCUUCAAAUAAAUGAAAAUGAAACUUAAAAAAUGUUUUUUUUACAACUUAGAAGCAUGUUACUAUGUUAUCCGAAUUCUUUAUUUUCUUUAAUUACUCAUAUCCAACAUGUCUCUGACACAUAAUUGGAUAUAAGUAUGAGAGUAACAUCCUUCAAAUAAAUGAAAAUGAAACUUAAAAAAAACUGAAUAUAUUCAUGUCGCACACAUAUCUGUAUCCAACACUUACUCCUGAACCCAUAUAACAUAGAUUAAGUAUAGGUUAAAGCUAUAUAAAGUGAGUUUCCAUACCAGAGAACUAUUAGAGGUAUCCUCCUUCGCUUUACCGGCAAAGAAACCAUGACCAAGGGGACUAUAUGCAACAAUCCCAAUUCCGAGUUCCCUGCAUUGUUGAACACAUUUAGGCAGACAUAACCUCAGAGCAGUUGAAGGACUUAAAACAGUUGAUAACUUGAGAAAAGACAAUCAAUAAGUGAAUUUCAAUCUAUUUGAGCAAAAGGGUAUAUUUAUAUCCCUCCAAAUAUAUAAAAAAUUGAAUAUACCUAUAUUCGAAAAAAAAAAUUACGAUGAUUGAAGAUAGAAGAAUAAACCUGCAAAGGGGAAUUAGUUCUUCCUCAACAUCACGAGUCCAGAGCGACCACUCAAGUUGUACAGCAGUAAGAGGAUGAACAGCGUGUGCCCUCCUUAUAGUUUCGGGGCUAGCUUCAGAUAUGCCAAUGUACUUUAUUUUUCCCUCUUCCACCAACUUCUUCAGUUCUUCCAUCUAUCAUACAUGAAAUAAAUAUAAAUUAUGCUUAAUUUUCCCAUAAACAAAACAAAAUUGUAUUUGUGUUAAAGAAAGACAAAAUAGGGUUUUUAAUGCAGCAAUGCUUACGGUAUCUUCUAUAGGAGUCUUGCGGUCAACUCUGAUUAUAUAGUAAAGAUCAAUAUAAUCCACAUCAAGGCGUUGAAGGCUAGCCUCAAGUGAAGAACGAACAAAUUCAGGAGUGCCAUUGAUAACCGGACCAUCUGGACCCAUGCUUUCAACACCGAAUUUUGUAGCCAACUGUACCUUCUCUCGUGGCAGAUGCUUCAAUGCCUGCAAAAAAAGAAAUGAUGUUGAUUUCCCAGAUUCCUUUAACGAGCCAAGAACCAGAAUGAAAACAUUAAAUCAUAUCGAUUUGAUAAACUAAAAAAUUCCAUCUCUCACGCAUAUCUUCGAAUAUGUAAUAGACACAAGAGUGUGGGAAAUUGAGAACAUGAAAGAAUCGCUCUCAGUUUCAAUGUGAUUAAGCUUGAAGAGAUGACGAAAGGAUGUUACCUUUCCGACCAGAAUUUCGUUAGUUUUGGGUCCAUAGAAGUCGGCUGUAUCGAUGUGAGUGACUCCUCUUUCGACUGCAUGCUUAAUGAUGGCUAUGCCAUCUUCAGCUGACACUGAAUGAUCGUGACCUGUAAGACUCAUACACCCAAAUCCCAGCUUUGAAACCUGCAGCAACCAAAAAAUAAUAGAUUUUACCCCCCAAAAGAAAACGCCAUUUUCUUAACUAAUAUAAACUAGUAGGAAACAAAAUCUCAAACCUCAAAUCCUUGAGUUCCAAGUUUCACUCUAGGAAUCUCAAUUGCCAUCUUUUGUUUCCUUUUUCUUCUUCUUCUUCUUUGUGUGCUAUAAACAAAGGCUUCUCUGAUUACUGAACCUCUCAAAACUUACAUUAAAUAGAAAAUUUUGAGGUCUUUAUCCAGUAUCUUAUCUUGUUCUCAGCUUUGUUAACAUUCUUACGUCAUUAAGUAUGUCAUCCCAUAUGCCUCAAUUGAAUGAGUGGAUAAAGCUCUUUUUCAGACACGUUUGACACUGUUUAAAUUGGUUAAAUAUAUCAUUUGGUACCUAAGUUUGAUCUUUUUUCUAAUUUGAUAUUUGUGUUAUUUUAAGGUAAAUGACAAAAAUGGUCACUAAAUUGGGGUGAAAUUUCCUUUUUUGCCUCUAAACUAUGAAAAGUUACAUUUUUAUCACUAAAGUUAUUUACUUAUAACAUUUUUAUCACUCGUCUGUUAAUAGAAAAGUGAGGUGUGGUACAUUAAUUUAAGGAUUAAUAUCUAAUUUGAUCAUUAAACUAUAGUUAAGAUAUAAUUUGAUAUUUUUAUAACAUUUUUAAUAAGAAAAAAAUAAAAAAAUCCUAAAAAUUUAUUAUUUAUUUUUUGAAAUUAUGAAAAUAUUUUUAAAAAUUGUAAUUAUGUAAAAAAAUUAUAAAAAUUUUAUAACAAGCAAAACACGUAUUUUACAAAUUAAAAGAAAAAUACGUUUUUAUUGGUAUAGCAUAAAACCAUUUUGCAUAAUAUCUUGGAUAUAAUUAAAUCUGAUCAACUCGUCUGCUACUGUAGCUUUCAGUGCUGAAAAGCAAGCCAAGCCUUUUCCUUUGAGCAGCUACAGGGAAACCGACAAUGAUUGAACUAUUAGACCCAAGCUGCGUUACAGCCGCGCAGCUCUACGUAAAGUCAUGGUCACGUAGUGCAAAUACGUAUUUUGUUUAUUAUAUAAUUUAUAUUUUUUUUGUUUUAUUUUUUACAUGAUUAUAAUUUUAAAAAAUAUAAUUUCAAAUAAAUGAUGAAUUUUCAAAAUAAUUUAAGAUUUUUUUAUAUUUUUAGAAUUUUUAUUUUUUUGAAAUUAUUGUUAAAAAUGUUAUAAAAGUACUAAAUUGAAUGUUUAAGCUAUAAUUUAGGGAUCAAAUUGGAUAUUAAUCCUUGAAUUAGAGGCCAAAAUAUUAUAAGUUGAUAACUUUAGUGACUAAAAUAUAACUUUUCAUAGUCUAGUAAAAAAAAUCACCAAAGUUUAAUGAUCAUUUUUAUAGUUUACCCUUAUUUUUAUUCAAUAUGAUACAUAUGCUUGACAAGAAAAAAAAAUGUCAUCUCAUAUUUUUUUUUGUUUGAUAUAACAUUUCGUACUCAAGUUUGAAUUUUUUUUAAUGCCAAAUCUAUGUUAUUUUUAUCCAAUAUAAUACAUGCAUUUAAAAAAAAUUUAUAUAUUUUCGUAUCUAAAAAUAAAAAUAUUAAUUUUCUAGAUUCGGGUUUUAAUAUUAAUUUAGUGAAAAAUAACUUCUAAUAUUUAAUGUUUGAAUUUUUCAUGAUUUUCUUAAUAGAUUAAAUUUAGUAUUAUUUGUAAAUUUGUUUAGUUUUGCAUUAAAUUAUUUAAAUACAACUUGAUGGAUAUGAUUUAAUUCAAGUUUUAGGAUCGAUGUGAUGAAAUUUAAUUGCUAAUAUUAUCAGCCAAUUACGAAUUUUCAUCCAACUCUAAAAUUCGGAUUAAACAUUAAAAAGUUGGCAUCUUUAACUUCAGGUAUCAGUUCUGGAAUAAACACUAAAAAGUUACCAUUGUUAGCUUUUGGUAUCAAAAUAUAUAACUUUUGUCAAAUAUAAGUACCAUUUCUAUAUAGACUUCCUCGUCAAUUUCAUCAACAAUGCAAGCUUACAUUUAAUUUAUAGUCUUUUCAAGUACAGCAGUAGUCGGAUCUGAUUGGACAAUGACUCUAAUUUCCUCUAAAAAUCCUUCUUGAGUUUAGCUCGAUUAGUACGGAUCAUUUGGGACCAACUUAUUAAAUUAGAUCCCAUAGCCUUUAUUUUUUCCAGAAAGGUACCGUUGGAAAGGUCCCGUGACCUCUCUGACCUCACCUUGGCAGCUUUCCUCCAUAACUCGAGAGGCCUCCAUUCUGAAAUUCCUUGUAGAAUUGGAUAGUCCAGCUCGAGAAAUAAAAUCUUCAGUACAAAUAUUAAUGUGUAGUGAUCCAACUGGGGUAUACCAGGUGCUGGACUGAGUAGCGUGGAAAAAGAGACCACCAGUUCAAGUUCGCCACACAUUGGUCUAGUCUCCCACAAACGUUGGUUACCAUCGUUAAGCCUUUUUCCCAUGUGAACUAAGGACUAUUGCAAACUCUACCACCCUGUUAGAAAGUGCAACUUAUCAUUGAAUUUUGAGUACGAAGGACAAGAGGGAAACUAAAUACUAUUUGGUGCUGCAAAUCUCGGACAAAAUCAGUUCCCUUCUCCUGGUUGUCUACCACAGCCAAUUCCAGGUUAUCGCCAAGCUCUUGGUUUUUUGAAACAGAGAAUUCAUUAUUCUAUGAUAAAGCCAACUCAUGGUCAACAUAGUCAGGUUUUCAAUCAGUAGCUAACUUGUUAUCAUGUCUAUAAAUAUGACCAACAUCCCCUUCUUUCUCAUGAUAAUGCCAUAAACCUAGGAUGUGAUCAUAAGCCUGUCCUGUCCCAGUGUGUCUCAAGCUAUGGUUAUGGCCUAACACCAGUUGCUGGUUCUGCUUUUAUUCUAGAUUGUGGCUUUGUGCAUAGAUCAUGUCAUGAUUAGCCAUUGAAUAAAUUAAUCACAGUGUUAAUUCACAAUGCAUUCAACAAGCCUUAUUUAUCAGCAUUUAUUUACAAAACAAAAUCACAUUGCUUUCAUUCAUUUACAUAGUUCUAACAUUAAAUUCAUUUAAAAUAAACAAGAAGUUGAAGCCCAAAGAAUGAAUACCCAAUGGAAAGAACAGCUUUAGCAAGUCCAGGAAAAUCAGACAAUGCUGAAUAAGUGCCUGAAACAAAAGCUAUCACCGUUGCAGUAAUCCCAUAACUCGUUAACAACGAAGUAAUAUACGUAUAAAAUGCAUGGGCAUCGAGUUUUUCCACAAACGAUUUGCAGUAAUGGAGGAACAUCGAUGUGGACGAGAAGCAAAAGGCCAACGCAUUAGCUAUCACAAACACUCUAAAAGCCAAUUUUCUGCUUAAAAUCGCCAUUCCUUCCUCGGGGCCAUCGCUUUUGUACCCACCGGGCGUGGUGAAACCCGCGGCGAAUGAGAUGAUGGCGAUCAGUGUUGUCACCAGUAAGUUUAUGCUGGCGAUGGUAUGGAGUUGAUCGGAGCUUGGUUUCUUGAUCGCUGCAGGUUCGGGUCUUUUGUUGGGAAUAAGUUGUGGUUGGGUUUCAAUGGCGACAGGGGACCAUGUUGUUUGUGGUUGUUCUUGAUUUGCUGUUGUCGAUUCAGUAGAUCUUGUUUUUCUUCCGUCCUUGUUGAUUGCAUGCAUGUUCUAAGCUUUCUAGACCUCUAUUGCUUGCAACACUCAUUGUAAUCCAAGUCAGUAAGUAGCUCAAUUUGAGAUAAAUAUCCAAUUAUUUGAUCUUUAGAUUUGAUUAUGCUUGUUUACCUAAUAAAAAAUUUUCAAGGAUUAAAAACUCCUCAAAUUAAAUAAGUAGAAAUAUUUUUCAAUUUUAUUGUUGCUUUAUAAUUUUGGUUGAUAUAAUAACAAAUUAAGUCUUUGAUGUUUAUAUAUUAUGUUAAUUUGAUUUUGAUUCUGAAUAAAUUAUAUAAAAAAGAUGUAUUUAAAUAUAGAUAGACUGUGUAAACUGUAAGAUUAAAUUUACUAUUAUAUUAAUUAAAAUUUUAUAAAUUGAUGAUGAAUCAUUAAUUGGUUUUAGAUUAAAAUAUUCUAUUUUUUUUGAAAAUUAUGACCCGUUUGGUUAUAUCAAAAUUGAGAGGGAUAUGAAGGAUAUUUUUACUGAUUAAAUAUAAAGUAAAAUGACACUCAGGGAUCAAUUCCAUUUUUUUAUUUUUCACUUACUCUUGAAUAACAUGAUACUUCUUGUGCAAGAGUUAGUUCGCUCAAAAUAUUCUUCAACGAAAUUACUUGAGAAGUGCACACUGCAGCAACUAUGUAUUUUACUUCACAUGUUGAAAAGGCAUUAAAUUUUAAAAAAUAAAGGUAUUGGGAUUAAAUUGAAAAUGUAUAAAGAGUAUAAGCACUUAGAACAUGUUUUGACUUUUAAAUUUUAUUCCAUAAUUUGCUCCAAAAAUUAAUUUAUUCCAAUGCGAAGCGUGGCAAGAACUAUACUAUAAUGAGUAAAUCACAGGGAUAAGCACUUCAAAUUUUCAAGAAAUUUUACAAUACUUAAAUCAAAAACUCCUAACAUUCAUAAAUAAGAGGAUAAUAAAUACUUAAGUACACUCAAAUCCUUUUGACUGUUGCAACAGCAGUGGUGCCAAUUGAUUUGAAGCUAAAGCAAUAAUUUUUAUAAAUUAUUUAAAAUUAAUUGUAAAAAAUAUAAAAUAUAAACUUAUUUUUUUAUUUUAUUUUAAAUUUUAAUAUAUAAAUAAUUAAGCGGAUGUUAACUGAGGUAUGACAUUAUUUUUAUUAUAACAAUCAGGACAAUGUGAAUUUAAACGGAAUUUUGAAUCAAAUAGUAUUGAAAAGGGUUUUCAUCAUUAUUUCCAUUAAUAUUACAAUCAUACUACAAGCCAAGCAAGUGCAGUACACCCUAAGGCUCAAACAAACCUUCAAAUUCUAUGAAAUUUUUUAGGAUUUAUUACAAACCAAGCAAAUGGAAGCACACACUAAGGCUCAAACAAUGAGGUAAGCACACACUAAGGCUCAAACAAUGCCUCAAUUUAUUAUCAACUUUUUUGCAGAGCUGGUAAUGAUAAUCGUAUGCCCCGUGAUAAUAUCAAUAUAUUACCAAGAAGGCAGUGAAGCAGCAGCCAUGAAAGCGACAAACUAUUCGUAGUUAUAAACAGUACAACGCGAGUUCAGAUCAGGCUUCCACCAAUGGCGAAGUUUAUGAGGUGAAAUGCUUUCUUCGGGAGGACUGAGAUUCUCUAUAAGAUUUGCCGAAGGAAGCAACUGAAGCGGCUCCGAAAUUGCAACAUCCAUUAUUUUCAGUUCUUUGAUCACUAUAUUUCUUAGUGAAUGAUGGCUUAUUAGUCCCCAAACUCCAACGUCGUCGCUCUUUCUUCUCUUCUUGAAAUGUUCAAUAUCUCCUUGACAUGUGAAGUCUCUACUAUUCACAAACAAACAUGGGUUCCACCCUGAUAUUGCAGCAAAUGAAUCUUCAUCACCACUAUAUCCCAAAGCAAGGACAACGCCGCCUUUGAUAACAGUGAUUGUCAGUUGAAGUCCACGUAUCACAUUCUUGUUGUCUUUGAAGAUUGUCUCAAUUGGGAAAGAUGCAUAUGGCGGAUUAAACAAAAAACUUUACAAGAAUUUGCCUCUUUUCACCGUAUUCUUUCCAGCAAGCAUUGCGAUGGCUGCCCCUAGGGAAUGACCAGUUAACCAUACCUUUGAAGAACCAGCCUUUGACACCCUAUCUUCAACAUAUUUCAUGGCGGUCCGAACACGACUAGUUUGAUGAAGUGUAUAGGAUUAUUGCGAAAUCCGACUCAAGAUCCCUUUUCCAAGUUUCUCGUUUGAAUAGGGUACCUCGAAAGGCGAUCACGUAUCCAGGGCCUGGAUUAGUUGCCGAAGGAAACACAUAUUCAAGAAUGGCACCAAAGAUGCUUUCAUCAUCCUCAUGGACGAGCUCAUUCACUAACUUGAAGUUGAAAAACUCCCACCAUUGUGGCGCAAGUGUCUCAGAGCCUCCACGUAAUUCCACUUGUCGGUCACGUUCCCGCUCGGAAACACCCUUGACCAAGCUGGCUGAUAAGGAUCUUCGAUGGCUGUCGUCGUUCCUAUCAAUGGUGGUAAGGUUUUUGGGUCCCACAAGACUAAAAGGUUCUCUUCCACGAGACGUAUAUUAUAGCACUGGAAACUAUUGACGUGGGUACGAGGGCUUUGGGUGAUGUGGGUUUCAGGCUAUAUGGUGGUUAAAGCAGGUUGUGCAAUGGUGACUGUGGUCAGUGAUGUGACAGCGCUGGCGAAUGGACCCGCGGAGCUUGGUCUGGGAGCUCUUAAAUAGAAAAUCUUGAUUAUCCAGUAUCUUCUCUUGGUCUCAGCUUUGUCAACAUUCUUACGUCAUUAAGUAUGUCAUCCCAUAAUGAGUGGAUAAAGCUCUUUUUCAGACACGGUUUAAAUCAUAUGGUUAAAUAUAUAUUUAGUUUUUUUAGAAUUUAUAUUUGAGUUAUUUUAAGAUAAAUUAUAAAAAUGGUUAUUAAAUUGAGGUGAAUUUUUUUAUUAUCUCUGAAUUCUGAAAAGUUAUAUUUUUUUAUUAAAAUUAUCUACUUAUAAUAUUUCGAUCAUUCGUAUGUUAAUAAAAAAGUGAAAUUGUAUAUAUUAAUUUAAGGGUUAAUAUUUAAUUUCAUCAUUAAACGAAUUAAUGAAUGACAAUGACUAUAUUGGGCUAUAAGUAACUUGUUUUAGUAGUAUGUUAGUCAAUUCAAAUGAGAGAAAAGAAGAGAUCAAGAACUAUAUUAGAACAAUAAAAACAUACAUUGAUUAAACAAUAGCUACAACUCUAUUCGUCCAAGUAAACACGAUACAAAAUAUGACGCAACACCAUCAUCAACACUGAACCCUCCAUUAAUGACAAUCCAAAGCUUUAGUAUGUUUCUUGGGAAAUCCAUUCAUCCCAACACCCAUGAAACUUUGCUUCUAAACCUAGGCGCUCUUCUUUGGUGGUGUAUUGCCAUAUUUCCAAGUGAAUUGCUUUAAAUCAUCAGGAUAAGUACCCCCUGCAACCUCUUGGAUUGGGAUCGCAUCUGAAAUUUCUUUCAAAUCUUCUUUUGUCAGCUUUACUUUCACUGAUUCAAUGUUGCUGUCUAGAUUUUUAAUCUUGGUUGUUCCUGUAAGAAGUGAAAACAAUGUGUCAAAAGCUUUGGUUUUAAAUCUCAAUGCAAACUGGCCGUUGGUCCAGGAACUUGUAUCGGAGUGUCCAACACGGAUAUGUUCAUUUUCCUAAGGUUUUACAUAUAUCUGGAGGAAUAUGCUAGAAAAGUCUAUGCUAUUUCUGCAG
rnacentral:lncRNA from 1 species